GCAAAUCUAAGAGAUUAGACGUUCCCUUCGGGGACAUGGAUACAGGUGGUGCAUGGUUGUCGUCAGCUCGUGUCGUGAGAUGUUGGGUUAAGUCCCGCAACGAGCGCAACCCUUAUUAUCAGUUGCCAGCAUUAAGUUGGGCACUCUGGUGAGACUGCCGGUGACAAACCGGAGGAAGGUGGGGAUGACGUCAAAUCAUCAUGCCCCUUAUGACCUGGGCUACACACGUGCUACAAUGGAUGGUACAACGAGUUGCGAACUCGCGAGAGUAAGCUAAUCUCUUAAAGCCAUUCUCAGUUCGGAUUGUAGGCUGCAACUCGCCUACAUGAAGUCGGAAUCGCUAGUAAUCGCGGAUCAGCAUGCCGCGGUGAAUACGUUCCCGGGCCUUGUACACACCGCCCGUCACACCAUGAGAGUUUGUAACACCCAAAGUCGGUGGGGUAACCUUUUAGGAACCAGCGCGCCCAAAUGGUGAUCAAGUGGCCGG
rnacentral:rRNA from 2 species